rnacentral:lncRNA from 1 species
AACCUCCCGCACUCGAUUCGGACGCUCUACCACGCGGCUAUCGAGGCAGUUUGAGGACAUUUUUCUACCAGUCCGCAGAUUGAGCUUGCAGACAUUACCAAUAUUUUGUUUGCGAUAUAUUAUAAAUAGAAAGAAUACUCUCUAGGAAUACAGUACGUUUUAUUUUAAAGAUUUAUUUCUGUCAUCUUUUACAGAUGAACAAACGUAUUUUCUUCUCGCAAGAAAAGUUUACGGUCAAUACAACAGCUCGUCUAACUGAAAAGCGAACACUUGAACAGAGAAAGAAACACAGCGAAAAGUUCUAGAAACGGAAAUAUUCAAAAACAUCAUAAGUCACAGAAGGCUGGUCCUACCUAACGGAAAUUGGAAAAAUCGCUGUAUUCCGGCUGCCCAGAAAGAUGUUUUCAUAUUGGAACUACUGACUUCGGAUGGUUAGAUAGUGUCGCCACAAGUACCAAUGAAACUUACGUUGCUAACGUUACAGAUAGUGAACCCAGCAUAAUCACAGCAUUUUACGUUUACGUUGCUGACGUCAACAGGAUUAGGAAACGUGUCACCAAAUACUAACGCCGAGAAAAUAUUCUUAAUAUUUGCUGUUCUGCUUGGUUGAUAGCCUCGUGUCUUAACUGUGCAGUGCGCCCCCUGGUGACACAUUGAUGCAUCCGGAUGAUAUACAGCCAGCUUUCUGUUUAAUAACAUGCGGUUCAUUGCAGAUUGUGACAGCAAAAAUGAUAUUAUGGCGAUAAGAGGGUGGUUAGAUACUGCAGCGACGAGAAUCAUUGAAGCUUACGUUGCCAACGUUACAGAUAGUGGACCCAGCAUAAAGACGUAUUACAUCACAGCGUUAUAUUUUACGUUUACGUCACUGACGUCAAUAGGAUUCGGAAACCUGUCACCAAAUACUAAUGGAAUUGACAUGCCGGUAAAGAUGAUAUAUUUGGUGGUGACUGCAGUGACGUGGAAUGCUCGGGAAAAUCGUUCUAUUUUGUACGUGCCUUUAGUUACUGUGAUAUUGACAAGAUAGAGUUACACUUGCUGAAAGAAACAAUGGAUAUAUAACCAGAAUUUUCAAAAAGAAUUAAUGGGUAAAAUACAAGUGACAUUCAAUCUUAAGCUCGACGAAUGGGACCACAGAUCGGAGAAGAUGAGCCGACGUCUAGGGCAUACGAAUUUUCUCCGCUAUCAGCAAGUAGUGGUAUAGAUACGGCGUUCAAAGACAGAUCAGUGUAAACAAGACGAACAGUUGACGGAUGUUUCAUUUCUUCAUCAGAUUCCAGCCAGUACGUCAAGGUUACAGUGUGUUUUCGGUGUAUCUAUAAGGUCAUUCUAAGAAACAUCAGACAGUUGAGCGCCCUCUAGUAGUCGACGCAUUUCCAGCUUUGAGCGCCCUCUGAAAGUCGGCGCAUUUCCGGGAAGCUGGUGAUACAGCGCCAUCUGGAAAAAAAUGAGACAGACGUCGCUGUCUAACCUCGAGGAAAUCGACUGCAAGUGAAACUAUUUAGCAAAGUAUACGAAUAUAACAUGGAUUUUUAAGAUCUUCCUUGUUGAAGAGAUUUCAUGUAACAUGGUGUUGCCUUCCAGCCGCAUUGAAAUUAUAAAAAUUAGAUUAGUGUUUUGUAUUUUCACAUCCUAAAUGAAAUUCAGCAGCGUUAAAGACACGCCUCUCAAAAUAACUGUCUUCUUUCGUAUUUCAGUGAUAAUAAUAAUACCUAAUGCCUAAAAAAUAUUAGAUAUACAAGCAUUUAGUUUUAAAUUGACAGUGACAUAUAUUAAGCCAAGACGAUGAGUUAAAUGUCUUAAUAUUUUAUUGUAGCAGUAUGUACAUAAGUCAGU